CCAGAUCCUCCGGCCAUGGAGCUCGUCAUGGGGGCACUGCCCAGCCUCAUCCCCAAGCUCGCUGAUCUGGUCGCUGGCGAGUAUGGUCUGCAAAAGGAGGUGAAGGGGGGGAUAAUCUUCCUCCAGGCUGAGCUCGAGAGCAUGCAAGGUGCUCUCGAGAAGAUCUCCAAGACGCCGGCAGACAAGCUUGAUGACCAGGACAAGAUCUGGGCAAGGAAAGUGAGGGAGAUGUCCUACGACAUAGAGGACACUAUCGACACGUAUAUGGUGCGAUGCAAGGGGGGGAGGAAGCCGGCCGAACAGCAUGGCUUCAAGGAAGCCAUUGACCGGACCCUUAAAUGGUUCAGGCAGCCUAUGAUCCGCCGUAAGAUUGCUAAGGAGAUCAGAGAAAUCAAGAGCCAUGUCGAAGAGGUAGCCAUGCGGCGUGAUCGGUACCAGAUCAACACUGAUGUUGCGAAGCCUGUGACUGUCGAUCCUCGGUUGCUAUUUGCUCAGUAUGAGGUGAAAGAGCUCGUUGGCAUUGAUGAGGCUAGAGAAGAGGUAAUCCGGAUUCUAAUGGAAGGCAAUAAGGAAGUGUCCAAGCAGCGCGGCAAGAUAGUUUCAAUUGUUGGGUUUGGAGGCCUGGGAAAGACUACUCUUGCUGAUGUGGUGUACAAAAAGAUUAGAGCACGAUUUGAUUGCUCAGCUUUUGUUUCUGUAUCUCAGACACCCGACCUGAAGAAACUAUACAAGCAGUUGCAGUAUGACCUUGGCAAGAGCAUCAAUGAAGAAACACUGGAUGAGAGGCGGCUCAUCGAACUACUCCGAGAAUUCCUUCAAGACAAAAGGUAUUUUGUUGUUGUUGAUGACAUAUGGGAUAUCUCAGUUUGGAAUAUGAUUAGAUGUGCUUUGCCUGAUAAUGAUGUUGGAUACACUAUUAUUACAACUACCCGUAUUGCUGAUGUUGCUGAACAAGCUGGUAGUGCUUACAAGCUGAAACCCCUUUCUUCAAACAACUCUCGGAAGCUAUUUUUUAGAAGAAUAUUUGGUAACGAAAACAAAGACAACAAUGAAGAAAUAGAAAAAUGUCCUGAUGAUGAACUUGCAGAAGUAUCUGACAGAAUACUAAAGAAAUGUGCUGGUGUGCCCUUAGCAAUUAUUACAAUGGCUAGCUUGCUAGCUUGCAAAGUAAGAAAUAAACUGGAGUGGUACGAGGUGUACAAUUCUGUUGGUACUGGCAUGGAAAACAAUAUGGAUGUGGAGAAUAUGAGAAAGAUAUUGUCUUUCAGCUAUUAUGAGCUGCCAUGCCAUCUAAGGACUUGCUUGUUAUAUUUAAGCAUGUUUCCUGAAGAUUUUGAAAUUGACAAGGACCGCUUGAUAAGAAUGUGGAUAGCUGAAGGUUUUAUCCAAUGGGAAAAACAGGGGAAGAGUCCAUUUGAAAUAGGAGAGUUUUACUUCAAUGAGCUCAUAAACAGAAGUAUGAUCCAACCGAUAUAUUACUUUGACACUGGCACACUAUAUGGUUGCCGCAUACAUGAUAUGAUGCUCGAUCUUAUCCGUUCCUUUUCAAGCGAGGAAAACUUUGUUACCAUACUAAGUGAUAUCGAUAGCACAUCUCCAUCAAGUACGAUUCGGAGGUUGUCCCUUCAAAAUGGCAAGAAAAGUCACGUGAUGGCUCAGGCUACUAGAAACUUGUUGCAACAUGCAAGGUCAGUUGUUAUCUUCCCAGCAGCCGUUGCUCAAGUGCCGGCUGCUGGCAGCUGCCGAUUUUUACGUGUACUGGAUUUGGAGCAUUGCAACCUUUCACAUACUGAUAGCCUUAAGUACCUUGGAAAUUUAUACCAGUUGAGGUACUUAAGACUAUAUUCUACGGAUAUUUCUCAGCUCCCGGAAGAAAUAGGAAACCUGCAGUUUCUACAAACAUUGGAUGUGAGGAGCAAUCCUAUUUCCAUCUUGCCUUCAAGUGUUGUCGAGCUAAGAAAUUUGAUGUGCCUAGACAUUGACGAGACUACAAGAGUGCCAAAUGGAAUCGGAAACCUAACAUGCCUUGAGCAGCUGGCAUGGUUAUGCAUUGAUGGGUCCACCAUAAACAUUAUAGAGGAGUUGGGCCAGCUAACUGAACUGAGGUUGCUGCGUAUUCAAUUGGACGAGUGGACCGACAAGCUGUUGGGGUGCCUACACAAGUUACAAAAGAUCCAGGAACUACAUAUAAAAGUCGAUCGUUGGCCACGCAACAUCGGUGGAUUGGAUGCCUGGGUCGCUCCUCGACAUCUCCGUUUAUUGAAUGCAGAAGACUUCUGUUGGUUUUCUACACUGCCGGCUUGGGUGAAUCCAUCGUUUGUUCCGGUUCUCACCUGCCUACUGAUUGCCGUGAGGGAGCUACAUCAGGUGGAUCUCGACAUCCUCGGGAGGUUGCCAGCUCUCCGCCAUCUACGGCUGGAGGUGGACAAUAAGAACCUGGGAAUCCUUCAGGGGUUAAUUGUUAGUCCUGGUUCGUUCCCGUGCCUUGAAUUCUGUUACUUCUUUAAAUUUGUAUGGCCAGUGGUGUUUCAAAAAGGAGCUAUGCCAAGGCUCACAUCGCUUAGCCUCUGGUGGUUGUUUUAUGCGCGGGAGGCAAGAGGAACUGGCAGCAGCGAUGGUGGUCUCGACUUGGGCCUGGGGAACCUGCCAUCGCUGCAGACGGGCACGGUUGGGCUCCGAUGUGAAGGCGCUAGCAAGGAGGCGGCGGAGCAAGCCAAAGCUGCGCUGACGCAUGCAGCUGAAAUGCAUCCCAAUCAUCCCCGACUUCAUAUAAGUAUUGUAUAUGAAGGUUGAGAUGAUGAAUAACAAACCGGAGAAAAGAUUCGAGUUAACGCCAAUGAUAAGUUGCUGGCACAUGACAAGUUCCUCUGCUUCCCCGCAUCUGCAGAGAUUAAAUUGCCUUGUGCACGCUUGGAACCUAGAGAUCUUCCGGCUGGCUAAAUUUUACUCCAUUUUCUGCAGUACCGUAAUGUUGCUCUCCCUGUCGCUGACAUCAAUCAUGCAGUAGUGCACGGAAAAGGCAGCGCAAUGUGUUGUCCACAGGAGGAGCAUGCAACGGCAGCCUUGGACAGAACAAAACGCAAUGGUAUUCCGGUGACAGAGUCGGGCCUAGAUGUCAUGCAAGGGUAUGCUAUUGUAGGGUGUGUUCCUGUUGAGUGCUAGUGAUCUACUUCCAUGAGGCUCUCGAAAGUGCAAUUAUUUGCAUAGCUUUUAUUAUGCUGUAUUUGACCUGCCGUUUGUUUGUACUAAUCUUCUGAAGUCUACCUAUGUUUGACGAAGACGAAGAAGAAGUAUUUUUUGGAUUA